UGUCUUCUGUGUUUAAAAAAUCAAGAAGAA
rnacentral:piRNA from 1 species